rnacentral:lncRNA from 1 species
UUGGACCCACAGCAUCAAUUUACUGUGAACACACAUCAUCAUCACAAUACAGCGUGGAUAUCUUUGGGCACAGCUUCACAGAAACACAGGUCCUAGCUACAGACAAACACACAGACUUGUCCACAAAUACAGGAGGCGCAGGAGGCACAGCCCUGGCCCGCACUCAGGAUGCGGCCGGGACACCCGUAUCAACCUUGCCCUCAGGCUUGUGCUCACAAGUCAUUUACAUAAAUAUGUAUUAAAUACUUUUCAUUUUAUAUAUACUAAAGAUAUCUCCUUAUUGGUUUCUAAUAAUCCUGAUUUGUUCAAAUAGCAGUUUCUUUUAAUUUCUGUCACCAAGACUUCAGAGCUGUGCCCUGCCUGACCCUUGGGGACUAGAAAAAAACCCGUGUGUGUCCUCCCUGCCCACCUCUCUCAGGCUGGAUCCCCAGGCUCCCGCCUGCCUGCCCCAGCCCAGCAGGAAAACAUCAAAGUCCACGCCAAAGAGAUGUUUUCUUGCAAGUGGCAGUCUUGCACCUCAUCCCCUCAAUACUCUCCUUUCCACACUCAUUCAGAAUGCUUUCUGCUUCUCCUAGUCUUCCUGGUAUGGACUCUCUGGACCUAUUUUAGUGGCCAGUGAUGGGAACUGAGAGAGGAAGAAGGAAGGAACAGAGAAGAGGUUGGUGGUUGUGAUGGAUCUGAUUGAUCUGGGCCCAGACUGCCUUUCUCUGUAGGCUAUGGGCCAAAAAAUCUCAAGGGAGCAUCUGUCCCCUUUGGACUUACCACCCCAAAAGCCUUGGCUGUACCCAUCCUCUAACUUUGCUGUCCCAGCAAGCAUACAGCCCUUGGGACACCAGUGCAGCCCCAUGUCCCUGCUCCAUGGAGGUGCCAUGCAUUUGUUGUUCAUUUAACAAGGCAGAGGCGCAUUGUCUCUUGCCAAAUGGCAAAGAGCUGGGUUGUGGAGGAGCAGAGCAGACUCUUCCACACCCUGGAGUCCUGUGGCCUUGGGACAUGGCUUGUUCUGUGCUGUGGACAGCCAGCUGCAUGAGGUGCUAUGCAGGAAACUGGGCUGCCUCCAGGCUAGAAGCGCUUGCAGUUUGCUAUCCAGUGAGCCACUAAUUCUGCUGAUCCCCCUGACACUGCAGCUGCAGCUCCUCCACGCUUCUCUCAGGAGGCAGUGGCUGCCCCUGGCCUGGCACAGCACUGUCCCCCAGCAGCUCCUUGUGCACAUGCUCUGGAUCCAGAAUGUCUCCCAGCAGCACCUCUUCACAGGGCGCCAAGCUCUCCUUAGACAGCCAUGACUGAUCCAGGCCAGCCAUUCCCCCUAUACAUCCUUCACCUGGCGUCACUCCGUCCCCAGCCAACCUUACAUUAGACCCUGCACCACACUCUGGGUUCCCUGUGUUACUUGGCUCUAACAUUUCCCCAGCUGAUUCUUCUUCAUCCAGCUCCACCAUGCUCUUCUCCUCUGAGUUAGAGUCCUCCUCCGCCAGCUCCUUCUCACUCAGCUCCAGGACCUUGCCUGGCUCUGGGCCCUUAUUCCAGGUCAGGGUUUCUGGGGCACUUGGCUCCGACAACCCAGACACCUCCACCUCCACGUCAAGCCCUCUGCCUGGUGGCUGUCCCUCUUCUUGCUCAGGGGACUGGCUAUUCAGUUGCUCCUCACUUUUUGGGGGGCUGAUGGAAAGUUUCUCAGUGAAGCUGAAGCG